AGAGCGAACGCUGGCGGCAGGCCUAAAACAUGCAAGUCGAACGGACCCUUCGGGGUUAGUGGCGGACGGGUGAGUAACACGUGGGAACGUGCCUUUUGGUUCAGAACAACUCAGGGAAACUUGAGCUAAUACUGAAUAAGCCCUACGGGGGAAAGAUUUAUCGCCAUUAGAGCGGCCCGCGUUGGAUUAGCUAGUUGGUGAGGUAAAGGCUCACCAAGGCUACGAUCCAUAGCUGGUCUGAGAGGAUGAUCAGCCACACUGGGACUGAGACACGGCCCAGACUCCUACGGGAGGCAGCAGUUAGGAAUCUUGCGCAAUGGGCGAAAGCCUGACGCAGCCAUGCCGCGUGAAUGAUGAAGGUCUUAGGAUUGUAAAUUCUUUCAGUGGGAAGAUAAUGACUGUACCACAGAAGAAGCUCCGGCUAACUUCGUGCCAACAGCCGC
rnacentral:rRNA from 1 species